GCCUGGCUGGCUCAGUUGGUACAGUAUAAGACUCUUGAUCUUGAGGUCCUGAGUUUGAGCCCCACGUUGGGUG
rnacentral:tRNA from 1 species